rnacentral:lncRNA from 1 species
CGACGUGGUGAGGAGUGGGUUUCGGGCAUGAGAAGUCACAGGGCCGUUUCCUAGUCUCUCUUCACUUCUUUGGGUCUUCUCAGAGAAAGAAGGCUGCCGUGGGUAGGCUGGGGGCGGAGACUAUCGGGAAGAGAAAAUUACUUUUCCCACUGAAACACACCCAAGUAUAUGCCCAGCCUUCAUGAAAGUGAACAGAGAAACGAAGCGCCUUUAUGUGGGUGGCCUUAGCCAGGACAUUUCUGAGGCAGACCUACAAAAUCAGUUCAGCAGAUUUGGAGAAGUUUCGGAUGUGGAGAUCAUCACACGGAAAGAUGACCAAGGAAACCCACAGAAAGUUUUUGCAUAUAUCAACAUCAGUGUAGCAGAAGCGGACCUGAAAAAAUGUAUGUCUGUUUUAAAUAAAACAAAAUGGAAAGGUGGAACAUUACAAAUUCAACUAGCAAAAGAAAGCUUUCUGCACAGGAGGAUAUGGAUAAUCAAGACCUAACAAAUUGGGCUCCGAAAGAUACCUUCGUCAUGGGGAAGAGUGAAUGGAGAGAAGAUAAUAUAAAAUGCCAAACGUAUAUAAAUUGAAAGGGGAAAAUUGAGAGAACUUGCGAUCCAUGGUCUUGGUCUUCCAUAAAGGGGAACUGGGACAUCCACUGGAGCAGAGCACAGAUUGGCCCAAGAGAGAGAAGCAGCAAAAGCUAAGAAAGAAGAAUCAACAACAGGUAACGCCAACUUGUUAGAAAAGACAGGAGGAGUGGAUUUCCAUAUGAAAGCUGUGCCAGGGACAGAAGUGCCAGGGCAUAAGAAUUGGGUUGUGAGCAAAUUUGGAAGAGUCUUACCUGUUCUUCACCUUAAAAAUCAACAUAAACGUAAAAUCAUCAAAUAUGAUCCCUCAAAAUACUGCCACAACCUGAAGAAGAUAGGGGAGGAUUUCUCAAACACCAUUCCUAUAUCCAGCCUGACUUGGGAAUUAGAAGGAGGGAAUGACCCUAUGAGUAAGAAACGGCGAGGAGAGUUCUCUGACUUUCAUGGCCCUCCCAAGAAGAUAAUAAAAGU